UAUCCUUAUUUGCCAGCGCGUUAUGGCGGGAACUCUAAGGAGACUGCCGGUGAUAAACCGGAGGAAGGUGGGGACGACGUCAAGUCAUCAUGGCCCUUACGGGAUGGGCUACACACGUGCUACAAUGGCAGGUACAGAGGGCAGCAAUACCGCGAGGUGGAGCGAAUCCCACAAAGCUUGUCGUAGUCCGGAUUGGAGUCUGCAACUCGACUCCAUGAAGUCGGAAUCGCUAGUAAUCGUAGAUCAGAAUGCUACGGUGAAUACGUUC
rnacentral:rRNA from 1 species